rnacentral:rRNA from 1 species
AUUGAACGCUGGCGGCAUGCUUUACACAUGCAAGUCGAGCGGUAACAGGCCUUCGGGUGCUGACGAGUGGCGAACGGGUGAGUAAUGCAUCGGAACGUACCCAGAGGUGGGGGAUAACGCAGCGAAAGCUGUGCUAAUACCGCAUGUGAUCUGAGGAUGAAAGCGGGGGACCGAGCAGCAAUGUUUGGCCUCGCGCCUUUGGAGCGGCCGAUGUCGGAUUAGCUAGUUGGUGGGGUAAAGGCCUACCAAGGCGACGAUCCGUAGCUGGUCUGAGAGGACGACCAGGCACACUGGGACUGGGACACGGGCCAGACUCCUACGGGAGGCAGCAGUGGGGAAUUUUGGACAAUGGGCGCAAGCCUGAUCCAGCAAUGCCGCGUGCGGGAAGAAGGCCUUCGGGUUGUAAACCGCUUUUGGCAGGAACGAAACGGUGUCCGCUAAUACCGGGCGCUAAUGACGGUACCUGCAGAAUAAGCACCGGCUAACUACGUG